rnacentral:pre_miRNA from 1 species
GGGGGGAGCGCCAGAUCUUGGGCUGUGUCCCCGGCGCCCUGGGCUCCGGGGCUUGCGCUGCUAGAAUCACGCUCCCAGGGCCGCGCAGCUCCCC